UGGGGAAUAUUGGACAAUGGGCGAAAGCCUGAUCCAGCCAUGCCGCGUGUGUGAAGAAGGUCUUCGGAUUGUAAAGCACUUUAAGUUGGGAGGAAGGGCAUUAACCUAAUACGUUAGUGUUUUGACGUUACCGACAGAAUAAGCACCGGCUAACUCUGUGCCAGCAGCCGCGGUAAUACAGAGGGUGCAAGCGUUAAUCGGAAUUACUGGGCGUAAAGCGCGCGUAGGUGGUUUGUUAACUUGGAUGUGAAAGCCCCGGGCUCAACCUGGGAACUGCAUCCAAAACUGGCAAGCUAGAGUACGGUAGAGGGUGGUGGAAUUUCCUGUGUAGCGGUGAAAUGCGUAGAUAUAGGAAGGAACACCAGUGGCGAAGGCGACCACCUGGACUGAUACUGACACUGAGGUGCGAAAGCGUGGGGAGCAAACA
rnacentral:rRNA from 1 species